GAUGAACGCUGGCGGCGUGCUUAACACAUGCAAGUCGAACGAUGAAGCCCAGCUUGCUGGGUGGAUUAGUGGCGAACGGGUGAGUAACACGUGAGCAACCUGCCCCUGACUCUGGGAUAAGCGCUGGAAACGGCGUCUAAUACUGGAUAUGUCCCGUCACCGCAUGGUGUGCGGGUGGAAAGAUUUUUCGGUUGGGGAUGGGCUCGCGGCCUAUCAGCUUGUUGGUGAGGUAAUGGCUCACCAAGGCGUCGACGGGUAGCCGGCCUGAGAGGGUGACCGGCUACACUGGGACUGAGACACGGCCCAGACUCCUACGGGAGGCAGCAGUGGGGAAUAUUGCACAAUGGGCGGAAGCCUGAUGCAGCAACGCCGCGUGAGGGAUGACGGCCUUCGGGUUGUAAACCUCUUUUAGCAGGGAAGAAGCGAAAGUGACGGUACCUGCAGAAAAAGCACCGGCUAACUACGUG
rnacentral:rRNA from 1 species